rnacentral:rRNA from 1 species
CCUACGGGAGGCAGCAGUGGGGAAUAUUGCACAAUGGGCGAAAGCCUGAUGCAGCGACGCCGCGUGAGGGAUGGAGACCUUCGGGUUGUAAACCUCUUUCGCUCAUGGUCAAGCCGCAGCUUUGGGUUGUGGUGAGGGUAGUGGGUAAAGAAGCGCCGGCUAACUACGUGCCAGCAGCCGCGGUAAUACGUAGGGCGCGAGCGUUGUCCGGAAUUAUUGGGCGUAAAGGGCUUGUAGGCGGUUGGUCGCGUCUGCCGUGAAAUCCUCUGGCUUAACUGGGGGCGUGCGGUGGGUACGGGCUGACUUGAGUGCGGUAGGGGAGACUGGAACUCCUGGUGUAGCGGUGGAAUGCGCAGAUAUCAGGAAGAACACCGGUGGCGAAGGCGGGUCUCUGGGCCGUUACUGACGCUGAGGAGCGAAAGCGUGGGGAGCGAACAGGAUUAGAUACCCUGGUAGUCCACGCUGUAAACGUUGGGCACUAGGUGUGGGGGCCACCCGUGGUUUCUGCGCCGUAGCUAACGCUUUAAGUGCCCCGCCUGGGGAGUACGGCCGCAAGGCUAAAACUCAAAUGAAUUGACGG